rnacentral:sRNA from 1 species
CCGCCGUUGAAGACUUUUUCGUACUCUGUCAUCGCCGAACUGUCGAAGGCUCUACACGGUUCGCCGUCGUCGAAGACUCGUCGCCGUUGAAGGCUCACCGCCAUCGAAGGUUUUUCCGCUCUCUGUCGUCACCUCCUAACUGUUGAAGGCUCUACCACCAUUUCACUCUAAGGAAAAGCGGAUAUGCAUAUGUGUUCAUUAAGAAUCUUGAUGUAUUAGUAGAUAACAAGACACUGUAUGACACUUUUGUUGCCUUUGGAACUGUGCUAUCUAGUAAGGUAGCGGUUGAUGAGAAUGGUCAAUCAAAAGGGUAUGGAUUUGUGCACUUUGACAAUGACGAGUCUGCUCAGAAUGCUAUCAAAAAAUUUAACGGCAUGUUAAUAAAUGUUGCAGUAGCUCGGCGAAAGGAAGAAAGGAAGUCUAAUUUACAGGCCCAGUUUUCUCAUAUGCAAAUUGCACCUUUCUCUGCUGGCAUUACUGGAUAUCAUCCAGCUUAUUUUGGUCCAGGAACACGUGGGUUUGUCUCACCUCAGGCAACAGGCUAUGGUUUUCAACCUCAUGUCUUGCCAUAAAGCAUGUGUGGGGUUGCUCCAAAUUUCUUGCCACAAAGCAUGUCUUGCCACAAAGCAUGUGUGGUUUAGAGUGGUUUUAAUUGUCAGUGAUAACUGUUAGAGUGAUUUGUAUUGUAGAAGUGUCCAAUACUUUAAUAGCAGUACCAAAACUGUUUUCACAAAACAGUUUACUGAACUGUAUUGGAG